rnacentral:rRNA from 1 species
GACGAACGCUGGCGGCGUGCUUAACACAUGCAAGUCGAACGGAAAGGCCCUGCUUUUGUGGGGUGCUCGAGUGGCGAACGGGUGAGUAACACGUGAGUAACCUGCCCUUGACUUUGGGAUAACUUCAGGAAACUGGGGCUAAUACCGGAUAGGAGCUCCUGCUGCAUGGUGGGGGUUGGAAAGUUUCGGCGGUUGGGGAUGGACUCGCGGCUUAUCAGCUUGUUGGUGGGGUAGUGGCUUACCAAGGCUUUGACGGGUAGCCGGCCUGAGGGGGUGACCGGCCACAAUGGGACUGAGAUACGGCCCAGACUCCUACGGGAGGCAGCAGUGGGGAAUAUUGCACAAUGGGCGGAAGCCUGAUGCAGCAACGCCGCGUGCGGGAUGACGGCCUUCGGGUUGUAAACCGCUUUCGCCUGUGACGAAGCGUGAGUGACGGUAAUGGGUAAAGAAGCACCGGCUAACUACGUG